GAAGCACGGAGCGAUGUAGCUGUGUGGCCCCAGAGCCAGGGCCAGACACUUGGGUAGAGACGGGGUUUCGCCAUGUUGGCCAGGCUGGUCUCGCACUCCUGACCUCAAGUGAUCCGCCUGCCUUGGCCUCCCAAAGUGCUGGGAUUACAGACGUGAAGCCACUGCGCCCGGCUGGUUGCUGGCAGAGGUGGUUGGGGCUAUGUGCCUGGAGUGAAGAUUCUGCCCAUUGGUCAAGAGACCUCCCUCUCAGAUGCUGGCUCUGCCCCUGCCUUUGGGGGUCGACCCUUGUACUCGCAGGACCUUAGGUGACUCUGACUUUGUCAAAGGAAAAAUUUCUGCAUGUGCACACACAGAUCUUGGAAGUUUAUUCAUCUCAGCAGAGGCAGACAGGAGCAUCAACAGCCUUGGGGACAGCAGCAGUGGUGGUGGAGUCUGACUCUGUCGCCCAGGCUGAAGUGCAGUGGCACAAUCUCGGCUCACUGCAACCUCC
rnacentral:lncRNA from 1 species